GCCAGGCACGGUAGCGCAGGCCUGUAAUCCAAGUGGCUUGAGAGGCUGAGGUAGGAGGAUCACGAGUUCAAAGCCAGUAUCAUCAAAAGUGAGGCACUAAGCAACUCAGUGAGACCCUGUCUCUA
rnacentral:sRNA from 1 species